AUGGGGACACUUCAGGGAGUGGCUCUCAGGUCCCGAGAAAGACCUUCCUGGCCACAGGAGACACACAGACAUCAGGAAGGGACAGAGGAAGGAUGUGCAGUUGCAGCCUUUACAGCAGAUGCUCUGAGAAUGGGAGGUCGAGAGUUGGAGCAAACGGUCAGUUCUGACAGGGCCUCAGACCUAAGGCAGGAGCACCCCCUACACCAGACCUCCUGGGUCACAGGAAAUGCACAGACAUCGGGAAGGGACGGAGGAUGGACGGAGGAAGGACGUGCAGUUGCAGCUCUUUCUGCAGAUGCCCUGAGAGAGGAGCAAGAAGGUCCUUGCCAGAUGCUCCUGGACUUGCUUUGGACUUUCCCUUGCUCUUGGACUUGCUCUGGCACCUUGCUCUUGGACUUCACAGCCUCUAG
rnacentral:lncRNA from 1 species